CUUGAGAAUCCCCAUUGUCAUCCAGGUUCUUGAACAGUUUCUCAACUGCAUCAUUAUUCUGCCCAGUCUGAAAGAGAGAAAGAAGUGGAUAUAAGACUAACAGGGAAAGGGUAACCAAGGGCAGACUUGUCCCUCUGGACAUUCUAUAUCAUUCCCUAAUGUCUUCAACUGCAAAAAGGAGAGAAAACUGUUCCUUUGAGCCACCUACUUAACCGAGAUUUUGUGAGAAGAAUUAGAUCAAUUUUGGAAAAUUGUAUACAUUUGAAUGAAGAAACCAUCAAUGGAAAUGAUUGUCUAUUGUCAAUCAGCCAGAAUUCCCGAGUCCCAUUUUUCUUACUGUGAGGAAAGAAGAAAAAACAAGAUGAAGGGACAGUAGAGAUAAAAGCAUUAAAGACUGCAUUGUCUCACUCCCUAACUUUUUGGAGAAAAAAUCAAGGAGGAGAGGUACCCUGUGGGGAAAACCUGCAAAGGAACCUAGAGGCAAGACAUCUGAUCAUCCCUGCUCUGCUUGGAGCUGGAGAUGGCUCUCUCAAAAACUACACAAAAAUCCCAGCAACUCGUAGCGCUAGGACUUCAUCAGGAAAUAUAACCCUUGGUCUACUCAACUUUAAGCCUUGGCUCUGCCGUUUAUCAACUGGUCAAGUAACUUUGGCUUUUGGUAUCUCUCCUUAUAUGCAAGAUAAGAUAUGAACCUAUAGGAUAUACCUCUCAGAGUUGUUGUAAAGUUCAAGUGAUCUAUCACACAGUCUCUC